rnacentral:SRP_RNA from 2 species
ACGCGGGGCCCGUGCGUUGUGGACCUGUGAACCCCGCCAGAUCCGGAAGGAAGCAGCGGUAAGCGGUCAUCCGCAAGCGCCGCGGGGAAACCUGAUUCGG